GCUGGCGGCGUGCCUAACACAUGCAAGUCGAGCGGGGUUGAAGCGAGGGGUAACUCGGACUUCUACCUAGCGGCGGACGGGUGAGUAACGCGUGGGCAACCUGCCUCAAGGUUUGGGAUAACAGCUCGAAAGGGCUGCUAAUACCGGAUAUGCCUGUGGCCUCGCAUGGGGCUAUGAGCAAAGGGGAAACCCGCCUUGAGAUGGGCCCGCGUCCCAUCAGCUAGUUGGUGAGGUGAAGGCUCACCAAGGCGACGACGGGUAGCAGGCCUGAGAGGGUGGUCUGCCACACUGGGACUGAGACACUGCCCAGACUCUUACGGGAGGCUGCAGUGGGGAAUCUUGGGCAAUGGGCGAAAGCCUGACCCAGCGACGCCGCGUGGACGAAGAAGGCCUUCGGGUUGUAAAGUCCUGUCAAAGGGGAAGAAAGAUACCUUCGGGUAUCUGACCGCCCUGAGAGGAAGCUCUGGCUAAACACGUGCCAGCAGCCGCGGUAAUACGUGUAGAGCUAGCGUUGCUCGGAUUUACUGGGCUUAAAGGGUGUGUAGGCGGCUUUGUAAGUAAGGUGUGAAAUCCAACGGCUUACCCGUUGAACUGCACCUUAUACUGCAUUGCUUGAGGGUCGGAGAGGAUAGCGGAAUUCUGGGUGUAGCGGUGAAAUGCGUAGAUAUCCAGGAGAACGCCGGUGGCGAAGGCGGCUAUCUGGCCGAUUUCUGACGCUGAAACACGAAAGCCAGGGGAGCAAACGGGAUUAGAUACCCCGGUAGUCCUGGCCCUAAACGAUGUGCACUUGGUGGUGGGAUCUUCGGGUUUCGCCGCCGUAGCAAAAGCGUUAAGUGCACCGCCUGGGGAGUACGGUCGCAAGACUAAAACUCAAAGGAAUUGACGGGGGCUUACACAAGCGGUGGAGCAUGUUGUUUAAUUCGAUGCUACGCGAAGAACCUUACCCGGGUUUGACAUGUGUGUGGUAGGAGCCUGAAAGGGUAACGACCCUACUUUGUAGGGAGCACACACAGGUGCUGCAUGGCUGUCGUCAGCUCGUGUCGUGAGAUGUCGGGUUAAGUCCCUUAACGAGCGCAACCCUUGCUUGUAGUUACCAGCGGGUAAUGCCGGGAACUCUACGAGGACUGCCGGCGUCAAGUCGGAGGAAGGUGGGGACGACGUCAAGUCAUCAUGGCCCUUACGUCCGGGGCGACAAACGUGCUACAAUGGUAGGUACAGAGGGAAGCAAGCCCGCGAGGUCAAGCAAAUCCCCAAAAGCCUACCCCAGUUCGGAUUGGAGGCUGAAACCCGCCUCCAUGAAGUUGGAAUCGCUAGUAAUCGCGGAUCAGCCAUGCCGCG
rnacentral:rRNA from 1 species